CAGUAGCCGCGGGAAUACGAAGGGUGCAAGCGUUACUCGGAAUUACUGGGCGUAAAGCGUGCGUAGGUGGUGGUUUAAGUCCGUUGUGAAAGCCCUGGGCUCAACCUGGGAAUUGCAGUGGAUACUGGAUCACUAGAGUGUGGUAGAGGAUAGUGGAAUUUCCGGUGUAGCAGUGAAAUGCGUAGAGAUCGGAAGGAACAUCUGUGGCGAAGGCGACUAUCUGGGCCAACACUGACACUGAGGCACGAAAGCGUGGGGAGCAAACAGGAUUAGAUACCCCUGUAGUCCCUGUCUCUUAUAC
rnacentral:rRNA from 1 species